AUGGAAUUUUGUUUUCUUCUCCUCCACACCUGGACUCAAACCCCCGCCCCAAAACACCACGGAGGCAAUAGAGAAAUGGGACCAGGGAUGGAGGCGGCCCAAAGGCUGCCGUGUCCUGCACCUGUGGCUACCCCUGGCAAGGAGCAGAAUGGCAAACACCACUUGUGCCCGGAGGGCAGCAAUGACCAAACGCGGGAGAGAGAGAGCAACAACAAGCAAUCACAAAUUCUUGAUUUUGAAUCAAGCUCUGAAAGGGAACUACGUAUAUAUGUAAAAGAAUCUUUUUAGGUUUAUUCUCCCAAGAAUAGGAAAUUGAGAAGCCCUGUUCUUAUUAAGCCUCUCCCAGAGCCCAGAGUUUCUCACUUGCCACGUCCUGGAAAAGCGGGUUUUUUUUGUUUGUUUGUUUUUCUCCCUGAAGAUUUUAUUUCGGCUCCCACCUGGAUGUUGCAAAAGGGAGGACCCUCUGGGAGCUCUGGUUUGGCUGCCAGCCCUGCUCCCUCUCUCGAGGGCCCUGGGCCUGGGAGGACGCCGAGGCCACCUGCUGCCCCAGCGAGGGCCAUGAAGCCUCACUUUGCUUCCAGGUGAUCCAAGGGGUCUCUAAAUGCCCUAGGUGGCUGGGCCCCCCACUUUUACCCCAACUGCACAAGAACCCGGUGUGUUCCCAGGGUUUUUGCUUAUAAAUUGCAGAAGGGGAGAGGCUUGGAAAGUCUCAUCUGCCCACCAGCACUGGUGCUUCUGAUCCUGCCAUCUCGGGGUCCCUGUCGUGUUUACAUCCAGUGUGGCCUCAGGGACCUUGCUCUGCUGGGAGAGUUGUGCCUUAGAUGGUUCAGAGUCCCCACAGCCCCCAGGGCCCCCACACUGGGCUCCAGAGGGGCAACUCUUCCAGCUCACAUGCGCUCAGAGGUGUGAAAACAGCAAGAGUCUAGAUUGAAACCAACCCCCGCACAUGCAGAGCACAUGGGAAGGGAUUUGUUCCGCGAAAGCAAUAAUGAUACAGGAAACCUGAUACUGUUCUGAUGUUUUCUGGCUUCAUUGUUGCUACUGAGAAAUCCCCUGUCAGUUAAACGGUGGUCCCUUCACAAGGGACCGGCUCUUCUUUUGAGGCAGGCAGUUUCACUAGGUCUGGGGAUCGGUUUCCUCUCACUUGGCCCGCCUGAGUAUGCGGUACUCGCUGCAUCUGAGCACGAACAUUUUUCAUACAUUUGGGGAAACUGCCAGGCAUUGUAAGUUCUGAAACGCGGCAUUCCCGCAGGUUCUCUUCCUUCCAGAAAUCCACUCUCUUCUCCGU
rnacentral:lncRNA from 1 species